AGCGGCGGACGGGUGAGUAAUGCCUAGGAAUCUGCCUGGUAGUGGGGGAUAACGUUCGGAAACGGACGCUAAUACCGCAUACGUCCUACGGGAGAAAGCAGGGGACCUUCGGGCCUUGCGCUAUCAGAUGAGCCUAGGUCGGAUUAGCUAGUUGGUGGGGUAAUGGCUCACCAAGGCGACGAUCCGUAACUGGUCUGAGCGGAUGAUCAGUCACACUGGAACUGAGACACGGUCCAGACUCCUACGGGAGGCAGCAGUGGGGAAUAUUGGACAAUGGGCGAAAGCCUGAUCCAGCCAUGCCGCGUGUGUGAAGAAGGUCUUCGGAUUGUAAAGCACUUUAAGUUGGGAGGAAGGGUUGUAGAUUAAUACUCUGCAAUUUUGACGUUACCGACAGAAUAAGCACCGGCUAACUCUGUGCCAGCAGCCGCGGUAAUACAGAGGGUGCAAGCGUUAAUCGGAAUUACUGGGCGUAAAGCGCGCGUAGGUGGUUUGUUAAGUUGGAUGUGAAAUCCCCGGGCUCAACCUGGGAACUGCAUUCAAAACUGACUGACUAGAGUAUGGUAGAGGGUGGUGGAAUUUCCUGUGUAGCGGUGAAAUGCGUAGAUAUAGGAAGGAACACCAGUGGCGAAGGCGACCACCUGGACUAAUACUGACACUGAGGUGCGAAAGCGUGGGGGGCAAACAGGAUUAGAUACCCUGGUAGUCCACGCCGUAAACGAUGUCAACUAGCCGUUGGAAGCCUUGAGCUUUUAGUGGCGCAGCUAACGCAUUAAGUUGACCGCCUGGGGAGUACGGCCGCAAGGUUAAAACUCAAAUGAAUUGACGGGGGCCCGCACAAGCGGUGGAGCAUGUGGUUUAAUUCGAAGCAACGCGAAGAACCUUACCAGGCCUUGACAUCCAAUGAACUUUCCAGAGAUGGAUUGGUGCCUUCGGGAACAUUGAGACAGGUGCUGCAUGGCUGUCGUCAGCUCGUGUCGUGAGAUGUUGGGUUAAGUCCCGUAACGAGCGCAACCCUUGUCCUUAGUUACCA
rnacentral:rRNA from 1 species